rnacentral:rRNA from 1 species
UACGUAGGUGGCAAGCGUUGUCCGGAUUUACUGGGCGUAAAGAGCGCGCAGGCGGUCGUUCAAGUCGCGUGUGAAAGCCCCCGGCUCAACUGGGGAGGGUCACGCGAUACUGAUCGACUCGAAGGCAGGAGAGGGUAGUGGAAUUCCCGGUGUAGUGGUGAAAUUCGUAGAUAUUAGGAAGAACACCAGUGGCGAAGGCGGCUCACUGGCCCGGUACUGACGCUGAGGCGCGAAAGCGUGGGGAGCAAACAGG